GAACUUGUGUAUGUUCUAUCACGUUCAUCAUCAACACAUUUAAUUAAUUGUGACAUGACCAUUGACCAAGUAGCUAGGUGGCACACAUGACAAUCACAAGUUUUUACAGUACGGUAACGAUCUCUCUCAUGGCCAUAAACUGCACCGAGUUUGACUGGGCUUGAGCACUGCUAGUAGUGGCAAGUAUAA